AGCAGCCGCGGUAAUUCCAGCUCCAAUAGCGUAUAUUAAAGUUGUUGCAGUUAAAAAGCUCGUAGUUGAAUUUCGGGACUAAUAUGUCGGUCGUACUUUGUACGUACUAGCAUUAUUGGUUUCUCCCUUCUGACGAACCACGAUGUCAUUAAUUUGGUGUCAUGGGAAAUCAGGACUGUUACUUUGAAAAAAUUAGAGUGUUUAAAGCAAGCUCGCGCUUGAAUACAUUAGCAUGGAAUAAUGAAAUAGGACGUUUGAUUCUAUUUUGUUGGUUUCUAGGAUCGACGUAAUGAUUAAUAGGGAUAGUUGGGGGCAUUAGUAUUCAAUUGUCAGAGGUGAAAUUCUUGGAUUUAUUGAAGACUAACUACUGCGAAAGCAUUUGCCAAGGAUGUUUUCAUUAAUCAAGAACGAAAGUUAGGGGAUCGAAGACGAUCAGAUACCGUCGUAGUCUUAACCAUAAACUAUGCCGACUAGGGAUCGGAUGAUGUUAAUUUUUAAUGACUCAUUCGGCGCCUUACGG
rnacentral:rRNA from 1 species